UACGGGGGGGGCAAGCGUUGUUCGGAAUUACUGGGCGUAAAGGGUUCGUAGGCGGCCAACUAAGUCGGACGUGAAAUCCCUCGGCUUAACCGGGGAACUGCGUCCGAUACUGGAUGGCUUGAGUUUGGGAGAGGGAUGCGGAAUUCCAGGUGUAGCGGUGAAAUGCGUAGAUAUCUGGAGGAACACCGGUGGCGAAGGCGGCAUCCUGGACCAACACUGACGCUGAGGAGCGAAAGCCAGGGGAGCAAACGGG
rnacentral:rRNA from 1 species